AUUGAACGCUGGCGGCAGGCCUAACACAUGCAAGUCGAACGGUAACAGGAAACAGCUUGCUGUUUCGCUGACGAGUGGCGGCCGGGUGCGUCAUGACUGGGAAACUGCCUGAUGGAGGGGGAUAACUACUGGAAACGGUAGCUAAUACCGCAUAACGUCGCAAGCCCAAAGAGGGGGACCCUCGCGCCUCUUGCCCUCCCAUGUGCCCAGAUGGGAUUAGCUUGUUGGUGGGGUAACGGCUCACCAAGGCGACGAUCCCUAGCUGGUCUGAGAGGAUGACCAGCCACACUGGAACUGAGACACGGUCCAGACUCCUACGGGAGGCAGCAGUGGGGAAUAUUGCACAAUGGGCGAAAGCCUGAUGCAGCCAUGCCGCGUGUAUGAAGAAGGCCUUCGGGUUGUAAAGUACUUUCAGCGGGGAGGAAGAGAGUAGUGUUAAUACCUUGGCUCAUUGACGUUACCCGCAGAAGAAGCACCGGCUAACUCCGUG
rnacentral:rRNA from 1 species